rnacentral:lncRNA from 1 species
CGUCCUUGGGGAUGGUAUACCCGCGCAGAGAGAUCUCCUCCGUGACGGCGUGGGGAAGCACGAAGUGACCCGGCGGGUGGCGGCGGAGCCCCUCCAGGACCACGGCCUUCAGGUAGGGUUUUUUCUGUAGGUCGUCCUCCUUGAUCUCCGCGCCGACUUCCUCUGCCAGUUUUUCCUGCACGGUAGGGUGCUUGACGACGUUCGCCAUGAUCCAUUCCAGCGCCGUGGAGGUGGUGUCGGUGCCGGCGUCGAGGAACUCGGAGCAAAGAGUGAUGAUCUCUUCGUCGUUGAGCUUCCUCCCCUCCUCCUCGGGGAUCUCGAGGUCCAGAAGGGAAUCCAAGUAGCAGAAGCGGAAGCUGUUCUCCCCCU